rnacentral:rRNA from 1 species
GUAGGGAAUCUUCCACAAUGGGCGAAAGCCUGAUGGAGCAACGCCGCGUGUGUGAUGAAGGGUUUCGGCUCGUAAAACACUGUUGUAAGAGAAGAAUGACAUUGAGAGUAACUGUUCAAUGUGUGACGGUAUCUUACCAGAAAGGAACGGCUAAAUACGUGCCAGCAGCCGCGGUAAUACGUAUGUUCCAAGCGUUAUCCGGAUUUAUUGGGCGUAAAGCGAGCGCAGACGGUUAUUUAAGUCUGAAGUGAAAGCCCUCAGCUCAACUGAGGAAUUGCUUUGGAAACUGGAUGACUUGAGUGCAGUAGAGGAAAGUGGAACUCCAUGUGUAGCGGUGAAAUGCGUAGAUAUAUGGAAGAACACCAGUGGCGAAGGCGGCUUUCUGGACUGUAACUGACGUUGAGGCUCGAAAGUGUGGGUAGCAAACAGGAUUAGAAACCCUAGUAGUCC